rnacentral:rRNA from 1 species
AGCAGCCGCGGUAAUUCCAGCUCCAAUAGCGUAUAUUAAAGUUGUUGCAGUUAAAAAGCUCGUAGUUGAAUUUCGGGGUCAGCAGGUUGGUCAUGCCUCUGGUAUGCACUGGUUUCGCUGAUUCCUCCUUUCUGAAGAACUGUAAUGUCAUUAAUUUGGUGUUGCAGGGAAACAGGACUGUUACUUUGAAAAAAUUAGAGUGUUUAAAGCAAGCUAACGCUUGAAUACAUUAGCAUGGAAUAAUGAAAUAGGACGUUUGAUCCUAUUUUGUUGGUUUCUAGGAUUGACGUAAUGAUUAAUAGGGAUAGUUGGGGGCAUUAGUAUUCAAUUGUCAGAGGUGAAAUUCUUGGAUUUAUUGAAGACUAACUACUGCGAAAGCAUUUGCCAAGGAUGUUUUCAUUAAUCAAGAACGAAAGUUAGGGGAUCGAAGACGAUCAGAUACCGUCGUAGUCAUAACCAUAAACUAUGCCGACUAGGGAUCGGAUGAUGUUAAUUUUUUAAUGACUCA